rnacentral:lncRNA from 1 species
AAACCAAAACUCUUGCUUCUUUAUUUCACCAGUUAACAGAACGAUUUUGCUAAUAUAUCUCAAAGCAACUUCUGAUCAGGAGUGGAAAUAAUCAAAGGGAUCUGAUUCUUUCUUACCGAAGGAAAAAAUAUUAACUGGGAAUAUGCCAUAGGAAAUUGUACAAUUAUACUUUAUUAAGUGACUCUAACCAGAUGUUACACACCACCUCAUUAACCAGACAAUGAUUUAAUGGCUUUACUCAGAAGUAAUUAUAGAACAGAAAUUAACAAAACUGCAUUUAACACAGGUAGCUCCUUAUUUAAAUUAGUUUCACAUGCCAUUAAGACUACUCAACUUUUUGGCAAACUGCAGUUUUAUAGAUUGGUAUCUUAUUUGCAAUUAUUGCAAAUUGCUAUGAGCAAUGAUUGCAAUGCCUCUGGAACACAUCUGUUGCUGACACUAUUUAAAUGUGACAAUUUUAUGGGUAACAACUCUGUAUUUGUUAUUGAAGUACCAUUACCCACAAGUGACUGAUGAAGAUCUUCUACCUUAUAGUUGGAAAUACAAUAAGCACUUUAUCUAAGUGUUGAUCUGUACUUUUUCUCAUAAUGGGCCAGUUUAUGUGUCCUAAGGUAUCUGAAGUAGCAGUUGAUCCUCACAACAGUCUCAACUGGAUUGGGGGAUUAUUCAUGUAAUAAAGUACAAUACAGACACUCAUUAUCAGGUACUCAUGUGGCUGGAAUGGCUGAAAACCUUUGGCCAACACACGGGAUGCACAAUAAUGUCCUUCACACAAACCUGUUUGUGAGGGAAGAUUCUCCUUUACAUACCACACCAGCUGGAAACAAAGGGAGACAAUAAAUAUCUCAUUUCCAGUAACAAACAUUUCAACUGCCCAUGCUAUAGUAUCUAUAUGCUGUGCAGAUAUGUCCAUACUCAACAGAUGCUGACUUUAACAAGAAGAGUGCAUUUUCUCUAUGCUGACUUCAGGGGCUAACACAUUAGAGAAGAGAGACAUUUUCAGUCUCUAGGAACGAC